AGCGAACGCUGGCGGCAGGCUUAACACAUGCAAGUCGAGCGGGCAUAGCAAUAUGUCAGCGGCAGACGGGUGAGUAACGCGUGGGAACGUACCUUUUGGUUCGGAACAACACAGGGAAACUUGUGCUAAUACCGGAUAAGCCCUUACGGGGAAAGAUUUAUCGCCGAAAGAUCGGCCCGCGUCUGAUUAGCUAGUUGGUGAGGUAAUGGCUCACCAAGGCGACGAUCAGUAGCUGGUCUGAGAGGAUGAUCAGCCACAUUGGGACUGAGACACGGCCCAAACCCCUACGGGAGGCAGCAGUGGGGAAUAUUGGACAAUGGGCGCAAGCCUGAUCCAGCCAUGCCGCGUGAGUGAUGAAGGCCCUAGGGUUGUAAAGCUCUUUUGUGCGGGAAGAUAAUGACGGUACCGCAAGAAUAAGCCCCGGCUAACUUCGUG
rnacentral:rRNA from 1 species